rnacentral:rRNA from 1 species
AGAAUGAACGCUGGCGGCGUGCCUAACACAUGCAAGUCGAACGAGAAAGCAGACUUCGGUCUGCAAGUAAAGUGGCAUACGGGUGAGUAACACGUGGGUAACCUGCCCGGAGGUGGGGGACAACUCUUCGAAAGGAGAGCUAAUACCGCAUAACAUCCCGAGUACUUCGGUACACGGGAUCAAAGUUUGCCUCUGUUUCAUGCAAACGCCACCGGAGGGACCCGGGUCCCAUUAGCUUGAUGGUGAGGUAACGGCUCACCAUGGCGACGAUGGGUAGUCGGCCUGAGAGGGUGAUCGGCCACACUGGAACUGAGACACGGUCCAGACUCCUACGGGAGGCAGCAGUGAGGAAUUUUGCGCAAUGGGGGAAACCCUGACGCAGCGACGCCGCGUGGAGGACGAAGGCCUUCGGGUCGUAAACUCCUGUCAAGAGGGACGAAUCCCUGGCGAAUGAAUAAGUCGACAGGUUGACGGUACCUCUGAAGGAAGCCCCGGCUAACUCCGUGCCAGCAGCCGCGGUAAUACGGAGGGGGCAAGCGUUGUUCGGAAUUAUUGGGCGUAAAGGGCACGUAGGCGGUCAGGCAAGUUGGUGGUGAAAGCCCUCGGCUCAACCGGGGAAUUGCCCCCAAAACUGCCUGACUUGAGUCCCGGAGAGGGUGGCGGAAUUCCCAGUGUAGCGGUGAAAUGCGUAGAUAUUGGGAGGAACACCAGUGGCGAAGGCGGUCACCUGGACGGGUACUGACGCUGAGGUGCGAAAGCGUGGGGAGCAAACAGGAUUAGAUACCCUGGUAGUCCACGCUGUAAACGUUGAACACUUGGUGUUGCGGGUAUCGACCCCUGCAGUGCCGAAGCUAACGCAUUAAGUGUUCCGCCUGGGGAGUACGGUCGCAAGGCUG